UACGUAGGUGGCAAGCGUUGUCCGGAUUUACUGGGUUUAAAGGGUGCGUAGGCGGUUUUAUAAGUCAGUCGUUAAAGGCAGCAGCUUAACUGUUGUAAGGCGAUUGAUACUGUAGGACUUGAAUUAUUUCGAGGUUGUCGGAAUACGUAGUGUAGCGGUGAAAUGCUCAGAUAUUACGUAGAACGCCGAUUGCGAAGGCAGAUAACUAGGAAUAGAUUGACGCUGAGGCACGAAAGUGUGGGGAGCGAACAGG
rnacentral:rRNA from 1 species